UCUUAUUAAUUAUUAUCAGGAAACGACUGCUAAGACUGGAUAGGAGACAAGAAGGCAUCUUCUUGUUUUUAAAAGACCUAGCAAUAGGUAUGCUUAGGGAGGAGCUUGCGUCACAUUAGUUAGUUGGUGGGGUAAAGGCCUACCAAGACUAUGAUGUGUAGCCGGGCUGAGAGGUUGAACGGCCACAUUGGGACUGAGACACGGCCCAAACUCCUACGGGAGGCAGCAGUAGGGAAUUUUCGGCAAUGGAGGAAACUCUGACCGAGCAACGCCGCGUGAACGAUGAAGUAUUUCGGUACGUAAAGUUCUUUUAUUAGGGAAGAAUAAAUGAUGGAAAAAUCAUUCUGACGGUACCUAAUGAAUAAGCCCCGGCUAACUAUGUGCCAGCAGCCGCGGUAAUACAUAGGGGGCAAGCGUUAUCCGGAAUUAUUGGGCGUAAAGGGUGCGUAGGCGGUUAAAUAAGUUUAUGGUCUAAGUGCAAUGCUCAACAUUGUGAUGCUAUAAAAACUGUUUAGCUAGAGUAAGAUAGAGGCAAGUGGAAUUCCAUGUGUAGUGGUAAAAUGCGUAAAUAUAUGGAGGAACACCAGUAGCGAAGGCGGCUUGCUGGGUCUUUACUGACGCUGAGGCACGAAAGCGUGGGGAGCAAACAGGAUUAGAUACCCUGGUAGUCCACGCCGUAAACGAUGAGUACUAAACGUUGGGUAAAACCAGUGUUGAAGUUAACACAUUAAGUACUCCGCCUGAGUAGUACGUGCGCAAGUAUGAAACUUAGAGGAAUUGACGGGACUCCGCACAAGCGGUGGAUCAUGUUGUUUAAUUCGAAGGUACCCGAAAAACCUUACCAGGUCUUGACAUGCUUCUGCAAAGCUGUAGAAACACAGUGGAGGUUAUCAGUUGCACAGGUGGUGCAUGGUUGUCGUCAGCUCGUGUCGUGAGAUGUUGGGUUAAGUCCCGCAACGAGCGCAACCCUUAUUGUUAGUUACCAGCACGUAAUGGUGGGGACUUUAGCAAGACUGCCAGUGAUAAAUUGGAGGAAGGUGGGGACGACGUCAAAUCAUCAUGCCCCUUAUGACCUGGGCUACAAACGUGAUACAAUGGCUGUUACAAAGGGUAGCUGAAGCGCAAGUUUUUGGCGAAUCUCAAAAAAACAGUCUCAGUUCGGAUUGAAGUCUGCAACUCGACUUCAUGAAGUUGGAAUCGCUAGUAAUCGCGAAUCAGCAUGUCGCAGUGAAUACGUUCUCGGGGUUUGUACACACCGCCCGUCAAUCA
rnacentral:rRNA from 1 species